AACGAACGCUGGCGGCAUGCCUAACACAUGCAAGUCGAACGAGACCUUCGGGUCUAGUGGCGCACGGGUGCGUAACGCGUGGGAACCUGCCCUUAGGUUCGGAAUAACUCCCCGAAAGGGGUGCUAAUACCGGAUAAUGUCUUCGGACCAAAGAUUUAUCGCCUUUGGAUGGGCCCGCGUUGGAUUAGCUAGUUGGUAGGGUAAAAGCCUACCAAGGCGACGAUCCAUAGCUGGUCUGAGAGGAUGAUCAGCCACACUGGGACUGAGACACGGCCCAGACUCCUACGGGAGGCAGCAGGGGGGAAUAUUGGACAAUGGGCGAAAGCCUGAUCCAGCAAUGCCGCGUGAGUGAUGAAGGCCUUAGGGUUGUAAAGCGCUUUUACCCGGGAUGAUAAUGACAGUACCGGGAGAAUAAGCUCCGGCUAACUCCGU
rnacentral:rRNA from 1 species